CAGGCGCUGCCAGCCCAGGGCCACGUCAGCUCGGCUCCGCUCCACAACACCGGCUCACAGCAUCUGCUCUGUGUUCAUGAUGGAGACGGGCAGAAGAGGUGGAGCACGUGGAGCAGAGGUGGAACUCAGUAACCAAGGGACCUCCUGUUUCCUAAACAUUUGGACACCCCCUGCCAAGAGGAGACACCAGCUCUGUUGGGCUGUGCCACCCCAACUGAGCAUUGCUUCCCUUGGGCUGCAGCUUCCUAUGCAGGGCAGGAACAUUUUGGCUGCAGUAGAAAUAAUAACAGUGAGUCUGGCAUGGCCAUAUCCUGAUUCCCAUUAGGUUCACAUCUCACAAUGAUCACUUUCCAGAAAGGCAGCUAAAUCCAGCAUAAGAGCUCAUCCUUUUUCCAGACAUCAGUGAAACACCACAGGAGAAGUUGUGAGCUUGGCUGAACAGCGUUGGACUCAUGGAGUAUAACUGGUGACAGCUGCUGGCACACUGCCUGGCUGCCUCAAGCCAUGGGAUCCUGUGGAGGGCCCACUCCUGACCUGGGGGACAGAGACUCGACAGCACGCCAGAAGUGCAUAUGGCAGCUGGAGCCAUGGGUGACAGGGAAGAACCUGGCCGGAUGUGUCUUUUUGGAACUGUUACCACUUUUCUUCAUUAUAAGCCUCUCCACUACAUGUCCUCCUGUCUUCAGAAUGUACGCUGCGCUGUCCAGGACAAGCAGAUGAAGAUGGGGCCGUCCUGGUUUGUGCGGGUGUUGGGGGUAACUCAGCUUCUAUGAAUCCUAAUAAAGAUGUGCAACAGGC